GACAGGGGCAUGAACGGCAGUGGGCCUAGGGGCACCCACGAUGUAAAUCCGGCCCUGCUUAGCUUGCACAUCAUUUGCUAUAAAAGUCUGUAAUACUUUUUUUAAAUUUCUAACUAAAUAACAUUAAGUGCUGUUAGGCAGUGUUUAAAGCCAGGAGCUCAUGUACGCAUGAUAAUCUUUGUCUUCAUUUCUGAAUUUAACUUUUGUUGCAGUUUGCCAUUUAAUCAAGUCAGCCAACCUCCACUGCCACCACACAGUUCACCUGUUUCAAUUAUAAGCGAGUGGAAACUAACUGCUAAAUUCUGGAAAAUCUUUAUGAAUUUUUUGGGUUCACGAAAAGGCCUCAGUUUGUAUAGAUGAUCGGCGCUCAGGACGCAACUUUGCAUUUUAGUGAAUUAGCGUACUAGUAACAUAUUUGUGCCUUAGGAAGUUGCGUGGAGUGUGCAAAGAUCUGAGGAAUUCUCCUCUAGAUCCUCUAGUCGGGCUGGGGGGACCGGGGGCCCACCGGGACUGCUGCCAAGGGCCCCCCGUCCCCCACUGUGACCACGGCUCAGCAAGGAAGCCGCUUGGUGCGCAAACCGGGAUUUUUUUUCAAAUAUAAAAAUUUAGAGAGGGGUUCUGGCCCGGCGGGGACCCAUGAGGGUCGGGGCCCACCGGGUAUUUUACCGGUGUCCCGCCGGGCCAGUCCGACACUGCCACAAUGGGAGGUUUUGGACCCCAAACCAGACAUUCAUACCCUCUAUAUGGAAUUUAAUGUUAAAUUCUUUAAGGGAAAAUUGCCUGAACUCGACCUGAAAUGGAGCAACAGAAUUUCUGUGUAAGUCAUGAACUAAACUUCAAGUUUGUACAUCACCAUUAAGAUGUAAUAUAAUGUAGGAAAACAAGUAUAAUUAAGUGGGAAAAAAAACCUCAUAGUAAUUUCAUAUUUUGUUUUGCAGAACGUCUGGACGUACUAUAAGGACUAGUACUGGAAAGCUCAAAAUUCGCCUUAAUAAGCCUCUUCUUGAUUUAAGGCCAAGGAGUACUACAGUGGAAAUCCUCCUGCAUGAAAUGAUACAUGUACAUCAAUUUCUCAGUAAUUCACGUGAUGAAGGCCAUGGAUCACUCUUUCACAGCCAUAAGAGGCGUAUUAAUAAAAUGACUGGAGCAAAUAUUAUGGCCCACCCUGAUUAUAAAGAGCAAUAUGAACUACUGAAGCGCCAUUGGUGGAGGUGCAACAGUCCCUGCGGAGAAUUAGAAAAAAGGAUUAUGAACCGUCCACCUUCUACCAAUUCUCCAAAUGUGGAGGAGAAUUUAUC